AUAUAUACCCGGCGCCGGGACCAGGGUGAUCAUGAAUAAUGCCCUGGCCACCAGGUGAAGACUCGCCAUUGCACUUCCUAGCGUGUUAAAGCCUGUGACGAUCCCUUAUUCGGGCUCGCUCGGACGCGUAUGUAAUGUGUAUGUAUCUUGUUAAUAAUAUUGUGAUGAA
rnacentral:snRNA from 11 species